UCUGGUGACCAUAGCGGAGGGGUCCCACCCGUUCCCAUCCCGAACACGGAAGUUAAGCCCUCCUGCGCCGAUGGUACUGCCCUGUAGUGGGGUGGGAGAGUAGGUCGUUGCCAGGC
rnacentral:rRNA from 1 species